AAACUCUACAAUGCAGGCAACUGCGAUAGGGGAACAUCGAGUGAUCCUCAUAUUGGGGGUCUGUCCACCCGCCUAAAAAGCGGGUGUUAGCAAGGGCCGGGCAAGACCGGUGCCAGCCGCCGCGGUAAUACCGGCGGCUCGAGUGGUGGCCGAUAUUAUUGAGUCUAAAGGGUCCGUAGCCGGCUUUGCAAGUCUCUCGGGAAAUCCAGCGGCUUAACCGUUGGUCGUCCGGGGGGUACUACAUUGCUUGGGACUGGGAGAGGCGAGAGGUACUCAGGGGGUAGGAGUGAAAUCCUGUAAUCCUCUGGGGACCACCGGUGGCGAAGGCGUCUCGCCAGAACAGGUCCGACGGUGAGGGACGAAAGCUAGGGGCACGAACCGG
rnacentral:rRNA from 1 species